rnacentral:rRNA from 1 species
AUUGAACGCUGGCGGCAUGCCUUACACAUGCAAGUCGAACGGUAACAGGUCUUCGGAUGCUGACGAGUGGCGAACGGGUGAGUAAUACAUCGGAACGUGCCUAGUAGUGGGGGAUAACUACUCGAAAGAGUGGCUAAUACCGCAUGAGAUCUACGGAUGAAAGCAGGGGAUCGCAAGACCUUGUGCUACUAGAGCGGCCGAUGGCAGAUUAGGUAGUUGGUGGGAUAAAAGCUUACCAAGCCGACGAUCUGUAGCUGGUCUGAGAGGACGAUCAGCCACACUGGGACUGAGACACGGCCCAGGCUCCUACGGGAGGCAGCAGUGGGGAAUUUUGGACAAUGGGCGAAAGCCUGAUCCAGCAAUGCCGCGUGCAGGAUGAAGGCCUUCGGGUUGUAAACUGCUUUUGUACGGAACGAAAAGCCCUGGGUUAAUACCCUGGGGUCAUGACGGUACCGUAAGAAUAAGCACCGGCUAACUUCGUGCCAGCCGCCGCGGUAA